GGCAAGGUGGUCGAGUGGUUAAGACGUAAGACUUGAAUCCUUUUGUGGGAGUGGUCCCUUCGGGGUUCUGUGCUCUCAAGGAACAGGAAUCUUAUCCCUUCGGGGUCGCGAGUUCAAAUCUCGUCCUUGUCG